GAUGAACGCUGGCGGUGUGCCUAAUACAUGCAAGUCGAGCGAACAGACGAGGAGCUUGCUCCUCUGACGUUAGCGGCGGACGGGUGAGUAACACGUGGAUAACCUACCUAUAAGACUGGGAUAACUUCGGGAAACCGGAGCUAAUACCGGAUAAUAUAUUGAACCGCAUGGUUCAAUAGUGAAAGACGGUUUUGCUGUCACUUAUAGAUGGAUCCGCGCCGCAUUAGCUAGUUGGUAAGGUAACGGCUUACCAAGGCAACGAUGCGUAGCCGACCUGAGAGGGUGAUCGGCCACACUGGAACUGAGACACGGUCCAGACUCCUACGGGAGGCAGCAGUAGGGAAUCUUCCGCAAUGGGCGAAAGCCUGAUGGAGCAACGCCGCGUGAGUGAUGAAGGUCUUCGGAUCGUAAAACUCUGUUAUUAGGGAAGAACAAAUGUGUAAGUAACUAUGCACGUAUUGACGGUACCUAAUCAGAAAGCCACGGCUAACUACGUG
rnacentral:rRNA from 1 species